GUGUGUACACUAGCAGCCGUUCAGCCACUCAAACUCCUCACUGAAAGCUGUCAGUGUUCGUCGCUGAACGCCUCAUUUGAAGUCGAUUACACUGCAGCCGUAGAGUUUCCUCCGUGAUGCUGGUUGCCCUCUUUGUGCUCACUCUGGGCCUGUUCUGCUACAGCCAGGGGAACAGUGAGUCUGUUCUGGGGAUUCCUCAGCUGUAUGGUCCAUCAGAGGCUUUGCUGAGACAAGUUGUUGAUUUUGUUUGUGAGCUGCAAAAGUAUCCAGAGAAUGAGACCAUCCAGCUGCGGGUGUAUAAGAUGGGACACCAUGAGAAGUUGUUGGGUGAAUACACGUACCAGCCUGACGAAGUGGCAUCCAUUCCCAUGAUGAUCACGGACUACCAUGAAGGCUUCCUGGAGUGUGUGGCCAAACCGCUCAACGCCAGCAGCUCUAAUAUCACAGCCACGGUCAGCGACCCGCACUACUUAAAGGUUAUCGUGCCGGUGAAAAAUGCAGAAAUCGAAUAUUCAGGACCGAUGGAGUUAUUCGAGGAAGACAUUCUGGAGCUGCGCUGCUUACUUGAAGCUGGAACUCAUGUCUCCUACCAGUGGCUGCUCAACGGCCGGCUCCUCUCUCCGUCUCCACGCCACCAUUUUGCAGAGGACCGGCUCAGGAUCUUCAGAACCACAUCCGGAGACAGCGGCUUCUACACGUGUAUCGCUUCCAACACUUUCAACAACACAGAGGUCUUCACCUCCAACAGCACUGAGAUGGAAAUCACAGUCAAAGUGUUGGCGUCAGACCCCGACAUCUCCUUUGUCGUGUUGAAGGAGAUCCAGAACUAUUCGGCGUUGGUCACCUGCCAGUCAGCCAGAGGGUCUCUGCCCAUCACCUUUUCCCUCUACAACAGCACAGAGCUGGUCUCCAGUGUCACAGCAGAAAAAAAAAAUGCUACAUUCAAGGUCCCGCUGGACUUGAGGCAGCCGCCGGACAGGCUCGAGUGUCAGGCCAACAACAGCGACCCGAUCGCUCACAGUCAGUGGCUGCCACUGAGAGUCGUCCCGGUCAAGGGUCCCGUCACCAUGCUUUACGACCAAGACAUCGGUGAAAACUACGUCGUGAUUGGCCUGAAGAUGUACUGCAGGGCCUCGGAGGGAUCUCACCCUCGGUACCACUGGUUCCUCAACAAGACCCGGCUCCAUGACCGAGGCAGCUUCUACCGUGUGGAUGACCAGCCGCCGCAACAGUCCAUCCUCCACCUGUCGGUCAGGGCCAGCAGCAGCGCCGGGACGUACCACUGCAAAGUGUCAGACAGCUUCGACAACGCCAACGCCGUCGGCAGCAACAGAAAAUACGUGGAUAGAGAAGUGCUGAACCGCCUCCCCAUUCUCGUGGUGGUGAUCGUGUUUGGAAGUUUCGCCAUCCUGAUCAUGCUGGUGUCCGUCUGCUGCAUCUUUGGAGUCAUCUACAGACGCAGGGUGUAUGGAGAGAAGUCUCUACUGACCCUGGAAAUGGAGAGACUGGCCGCAUAUGAGGGCGAGUUGGAGUCCUUAGCCUACACCGAGGCUGGCGAUGUGGCGGAAACAGCAAGCCAGGAUAACUUUGAUGAAGUGAGAUGAGUUGUGAUUCGUCUAUCUUUCAGAGGCUGCAUGCUGGAGCGUUGGUUGGUCCAAAUGCUGGCGGGGCCUUUCUGUGUGGAGUUUUCAUGUUCUCUCCAGUGCUAUGCAGGUCAUUCAGAACAGCCAGUGGUUGCACAACACUGCUCAAGACGCACAGU